GCAGUGUGGUUUUCAGUAGCGUUCCGAUGCUCUGCUUUUGGUUCUCGAUAGAAGGGACCGCAGGCUGGUGGUGUACCGGCUCCUGGUCUGAACUGUUGCCCGGCUCGGGUCCGCCUCCCUCCGCCAUGCUGCAACCAACAGCUAUUUAGAACAUGCCAGUUGGUAAGUCUUUGCUGAACAUGCCAGAGAGGUCCAAGUCCUUGCUCAUCAAGUCCUCUUCCACACUGUCCAAUGCCCAGUGAUGGUCAGUCAGCUCUAAUGCCUCCCAUUCAGCCUAUAAACAGAAGAAAAAGGCAUCGCCAUAGCAGCACCGCUUAUUUGGUCCUGCAUGAGGCGCGACUGAUCAGCACCUGUUCCAAAACAAUAUUGCUCAUUACAAUAUUCACUAUAUGCUCAAAAGUACUUGGACAUCUAACCAUGAGCUUGUUGGACAUCUCAAUUCAGAAACAAAUAAUAUUAAAAUAGUGACCUCUGUAAAGUCCUCAAUACUUAAAAUGUCAUUAUACUAAAAUAAUUAUUAAUUUAAAAUAGAAUGUGUAAUUUCACCUCUUAUAUCAUUAGACAAAAUUCACACGAAAAGACAAACCAGGUCAGUUUCAGCUUGUAAUAAAAUUUAAACACAAAACUAACUGAACACUGAUGCCCUGCUGCACAUUUUGUAUUUAUUUGUUCAGGUUGUUAUUUUUUAAUUCUGCAGUUUAAGUCUGCAGUUAGUGGAUUAGCAGUGGGUGAGGCUAAUCGGUUGUACCCAGGUCUUUCUUGCCCUCUGUAUGAUCACAGAUAACCACUGUUUCCAGUGCAGUCCACUCAUUUGUAAACAUAAAUAAAUUGCUGAUGCCAUUUAUUGCAGUUUUACAUUCUAACGUAUGAC